rnacentral:lncRNA from 1 species
GCCAAGAUUGCUGACAGUGAAAGGCACGACCUUAAGUGUACUCUUCUGUGCGUUUUGACAAAUGCAAUCAUUUGCGUAACCAAAGCACCAUUAAGACGUGGAACACGAAUUUGUUUCUUUUGAACUCUGAGUCACACUGCAUCUUUCUCAGGACUUUUGGGGGAAACUCCCGCCGGUCGCCAGGGCAAGAAUCCAUGUCAUCUUGCUUCCCUCUUAGCUCUGGCCGCUUGGAAAUUCUGAGACGCUUGUGGCCGGCCUCCAGCCCGCGCACAGGACACAGUGGCACUGGCAGUAAAACUAUCAAUUCCAAACCGAAAGAGCCCACUCAGCACUGGCCUGGCUGCCCAGGAUCCUGCAGGGCAGAAGUUGGGGAACAGAUGGUGGUCUGAAUGGUGACCUUGGAUGGCUGGAGGCCGGCGCCUGUGAACAAGUGAUGAUGCUGCUGGCAAGUCUGGAACCAGGCUGCGAAGCGGCCUGUGCUUCCCCAUCAGAGAUCUUUGGUCCAAGCUCUUCUGCUGGUGAUUUCCUGGGUCCUGACUUGCAUUUUCUCCCCUCAUCCCCGCUCGUGGGGAGCCCUGAGCCAGCUGCCAAGGACCCCGGCCAAGCCUUCGGGUUCCAGUUCCUGAAGGGUGGAGAGGAUGUCAUCCUCCUGUGUAUGCAGUUUUGCAUCCUGUUGUCUUGGUUUCACUUAAGAUCGUCAACAUUUCACAUGUGCUGUAUGGUAGGCAGCUUCUAAGAUGGCUGCCACUGGUCCAGAUGGGCUUCAGGACUCACUAGGCCCGAAAUAUGGCACCUGGGCAUAUCAAACACUUGAAGCUGAAGGGAGUUGAGAAAAAGGGAGGUCUCUCUGACCUCCCCCCUGCCCUUCUCCCCUGAAACAGGUCACAAACGGUCACAUUUGUGGCAUCUUCCUUGUACUGGAAGAAAGGACCACCCUUAUCUCGGAGGAAAAGGGAUGCCAAGAAGGAUCUGAACAAGCAGGGCUUGCUAGGUCUCCCCCUGGUGGAGCACUCACCUCGUCUUCCUGCCCUCUGGUGUUCCCACACGGCAAACCCAGCAUCGAAAUCCUCAGGCCUGUUUCUUCGGGUCUUCAUUUCUCUAUGAAGGCUCCUGUGUCGUGUAAUAAAUUAUUAAUAAAUGUGCAUAGUUUUCUUCUGUUA